rnacentral:rRNA from 1 species
AGGUGGUCAUUGCGGUGGGGGCACACCUCUUCCCAUUUCGAACAGAGAAGUUAAGCCCAUUUGCGCCGAUGGUACUGCAAUGUUUUGUGGGAGAGCAGGUAGCCGCCU